rnacentral:rRNA from 1 species
GACGAACGCUGGCGGCGUGCUUAACACAUGCAAGUCGAACGAUGGAGCUAGAGCUUGCUCUGGUGGAUUAGUAGCGAACGGGUGAGUAACACGUGAGUAACCUGCCCCGAACUCUGGGAUAACUGCUGGAAACGGUAGCUAAUACCGGAUAUGACCAAUGAAGGCAUCUUCUGUUGGUGGAAAGAAUUUCGGUUCGGGAUGGACUCGCGGCCUAUCAGCUUGUUGGUGAGGUAACGGCUCACCAAGGCGACGACGGGUAGCCGGCCUGAGAGGGUGAUCGGCCACACUGGGACUGAGACACGGCCCAGACUCCUACGGGAGGCAGCAGUGGGGAAUAUUGCACAAUGGGCGCAAGCCUGAUGCAGCAACGCCGCGUGAGGGAUGACGGCCUUCGGGUUGUAAACCUCUUUUAGCAGGGGAGAAGCGAGAGUGACGGUACCUGCAGAAAAAGCACCGGCUAACUACGUGCCAGCCGCCGCCGAAA